rnacentral:rRNA from 1 species
GAUGAACGCUAGCUACAGGCUUAACACAUGCAAGUCGAGGGGAAACGAUAGAGAAAGCUUGCUUUUUCUAGGCGUCGACCGGCGCACGGGUGAGUAACGCGUAUCCAACCUGCCCAUCACUUGGGGAUAACCUUGCGAAAGUAAGACUAAUACCCAAUGAUAUCUCUAGAAGACAUCUGAAGGAGAUUAAAGAAUUAUCGGUGAUGGAUGGGGAUGCGUCUGAUUAGCUUGUUGGCGGGGUAACGGCCCACCAAGGCGACGAUCAGUAGGGGCUCAGAGAGGAACGUCCCCCACAUUGGAACUGAGACACGGUCCAAACUCCUACGGGAGGCAGCAGUGAGGGAUAUUGGUCAAUGGACGAGAGUCUGAACCAGCCAUGUAGCGUGCAGGAUGACGGCCCUAUGGGUUGUAAACUGCUUUUAUAAGGGAAUAAAGUGAGUCUCGUGAGACUUUUUGCAUGUACCUUAUGAAUAAGGACCGGCUAAUUCCGUGCCAGCCGCCGCCGUAA